rfam:Trichuris suis scaffold48.3, whole genome shotgun sequence.
GGCCCGUUGGCGCAACGGUAGCGCGUCUGACUCCAGAUCAGAAGGUUGGGUGUUCAAAUCACCCACGGGUCA